rnacentral:misc_RNA from 1 species
GAUGAAGAACGUAGCGAAAUGCGAUAAGUAAUGUGAAUUGCAGAAUUCAGUGAAUCAUCGAAUCUUUGAACGCACCUUGCGCCCUUUGGCCAUUCCGAAGGGCAUGCCUGUUUGAGUAUCAUGAACACCUCAACUCUUCAUGGUUUUCCAUGAUGAGCUUGGACUUUGGGGGUCUUGCUGGCCUGUGGGUCGGCUCCUCUCAAAUGAAUCAGCUUGCCGGUUUUUGGUGGGCAUCACAGGUGUGAUAACUAUCUACGCUUGUGGUUUUCCACCAGGGUAACCUUCAGCAGUGGAGGUUCACUGGAGCUCAUAAAUGUCCCUUCUCAGUGAGGACAGCUCUUUGAACGUUUGAUCUCAAAUCAGGUAGGACUACCCGCUGAACUUAAGCAUAUCAAUAAGCGGAGGA